rnacentral:rRNA from 1 species
UACGUAGGGUGCAAGCGUUAAUCGGAAUUACUGGGCGUAAAGCGUGCGCAGGCGGUUAUGUAAGACAGAUGUGAAAUCCCCCGGGCUCAACCUGGGAACUGCAUUUGUGACUGCAUAGCUAGAGUACGGUAGAGGGGGAUGGAAUUCCGCGUGUAGCAGUGAAAUGCGUAGAUAUGCGGAGGAACACCGAUGGCGAAGGCAAUCCCCUGGACCUGUACUGACGCUCAUG